rnacentral:misc_RNA from 1 species
GAUGAAGAACGUAGCGAAAUGCGAUAAGUAGUGUGAAUUGCAGAAUUCAGUGAAUCAUCGAAUCUUUGAACGCACAUUGCGCCCUUUGGUAUUCCAAAGGGCAUGCCUGUUCGAGCGUCAUUUGUACCCUCAAGCUUUGCUUGGUGUUGGGCGUCUUGUCUCUAGCUUUGCUGGAGACUCGCCUUAAAGUAAUUGGCAGCCGGCCUACUGGUUUCGGAGCGCAGCACAAGUCGCACUCUCUAUCAGCAAAGGUCUAGCAUCCAUUAAGCCUUUUUUUCAGCUUUUGACCUCGGAUCAGGUAGGGAUACCCGCUGAACUUAAGCAUAUCAAUAAGCGGAGGA